UCUCAUGGCCAGGUAUAAACACUUGGGGAGAUACCUGGCCAAGAUAGACAGAGAGAGAGAGGGCGGCAGAGUGCAGGCGCAGGGUGGGGACGUGCGCUCUGGACAGAUGCACAAUGCACGUGUGUCCCUUGGACUUCAAUUCGCACCGCACGUAGCCAGCCGUGGCGACGCAGACGCGCCGAGUUCACUUCGCCUGGCCGCGGGAGGCGGCCCUUUGACCACCGCGAGCGCCUUAAAGAGCGGAGCCCUGACACCUGCCGCUCCGUGCCCGCACUGGCAAGAAGAUGCCUCUCCACCCUAGCAAGAUCGUCCUCCCUCUGUGAAGAGGAGGGGGAGGUGUGGUAAUUCCUGGCCGGGCUGUACGGCGGAAGAGGCCGAGGAGGGUGGCGGAGGAGGUUCGUGGUCGUCGAGAAGAGGGUUCGGUUGGCAGCCGCGACGGGCCGGCGUGAAUCUGCCGUGGAGAUGAGGAAGGAGGGAGAGAAAGGCGACAAGAUGAAAGGCACCCGGCUGGAUGACAACUCAUCCAAGAAGCGGGGAGACCCCGCAUCACGACACGUGGACCGGCGACCUCACGAGGU